UUGGCACUAAGGACACUUGGGCCUGGAUAAUUGUUACUGUGGGGCCUGUGCAUUGCUGGAUGUUGAGCAGCAUCCCUGGCCUCUACCCACUAGAUGUGGUAACGUACACCCUCCACAGCUGUAGCCACCAGAAUAUCUCCAGACAUUGCCAAAUGUGCCCUGGAGGGCAGAAUUCGCCCCAAUGGAGAAACACUGCAUUAUAUGCAACCUUAUUCCCAUAAAAGAGUGUCAUUCAUUCAUUCAGCAGAUAGUCUGUUGAGCACCUUACUAAGCAUAAGACACUGUUUUAGGCGCUGAGGAGUCAGUAGUGAAUGAGUCCAGCCUGGUCUCUGUGCUCACAAAGCCAUGCAGGCCACACAGUCAUUAAACAAAUGAUUGAGGCAGUUUACAGCACUCCAUGCGCCAAGAUGAGAAUGACUAGAUGAGGAAGCCAGGGCUUUGGCCACCCAGUGGCAUAGACACUGAAGCCUCCUGGCCUUUGCUCCUCAUUCAGUGUGCCAUUGUAUGUUGCAGCCCGUGGUAGAUGGAGGCUGGGCACCAUGGGGACCCUGGGGAGAAUGUUCUCGGACCUGUGGAGGAGGAGUACAGUUUUCGCACCGUGAGUGCAAGGACCCCGAGCCUCAGAAUGGAGGAAGAUACUGCCUGGGUCGGAGAGCCAAGUACCAGUCAUGCCACACGGAGGAGUGCCCCCCUGACGGGAAAAGCUUCAGGGAGCAGCAGUGUGAGAAGUAUAAUGCCUACAAUUACACUGACGUGGACGGGAAUCUCCUGCAGUGGGUCCCCAAGUAUACUGGGGUGUCCCCCCGGGACCGCUGCAAGUUGUUCUGCCGAGCCCGGGGGAGGAGUGAGUUCAAAGUGUUCGAGGCCAAGGUGAUUGAUGGCACCCUGUGUGGGCCAGAGACACUGGCUAUCUGUGUCCGUGGCCAGUGUGUCAAGGCCGGCUGUGACCAUGUGGUGGACUCGCCUCGGAAGCUGGACAAAUGCGGGGUGUGUGGGGGCAAAGGCAACUCCUGCAGGAAGGUCUCCGGGUCCCUCACCCCCACCAGUUAUGGCUACAAUGACAUUGUCACCAUCCCAGCUGGUGCCACUAAUAUUGACGUGAAGCAGCGGAGCCACCCGGGUGUGCAGCACGAUGGGAACUACCUGGCGCUGAAGACGGCUGACGGGCAAUACCUGCUCAACGGCAACCUGGCCAUCUCUGCCAUAGAGCAGGACAUCUUGGUGAAGGGGACCAUCUUGAAGUACAGCGGCUCCAUCGCCACCCUGGAGCGCCUGCAGAGCUUCCGGCCCUUGCCAGAGCCUCUGACAGUGCAGCUCCUGACAGUCCCUGGUGAGGUCUUCCCCGCAAAAGUCAAAUACACCUUCUUUGUUCCUAAUGACGUGGACUUCAGCAUGCAGAGCAGCAAAGAGAGAGCAACCACCAACAUCAUCCAGCCACUGCUCCACACACAGUGGGUGCUGGGGGACUGGUCUGAGUGCUCCAGCACCUGCGGGGCCGGCUGGCAGAGGCGAACUGUAGAGUGCAGGGACCCCUCCGGCCAGGCCUCUGCCACCUGCAACAAGGCUCUGAAACCCGAGGAUGCCAAGCCCUGCGAAAGCCAGCUGUGCCCCCUGUGAUUCAGGGGGGCAGGGGCCAGUCUUGUGCUCCCGGACGUGGGGUACUGAGGUGCAGACAAGGGUCUCCACUGUGGUGACUGUGUCCCUUGGCCAUACCAAGGCAGCAUGGCCCACCCAGGCCUCCCUAUGCAGCAACCCCUCCAGUACUGCACAAAUUCCUAAGGGGGAAGAGGAGAGGGGAUGGGGCGGCAGACCCUAUCAUCAGCUGUCCAGUGGACUGGACCUUGCUCGGGUUCAAGCAGAGGGCAUAGGUUAAAAGGUAAAAGUGCACUUAUUGACUCAGACAGGACACUCCGCAUCAGUCUGUUUGCAAAGGACUAGCAAACUAAAAUGAAAAAAAAAAUUCUAUCUGGUUUCCCCGAUAAAUAAUCUACCUCAGAGGGGAAAAAAUUAGUACAAGAGAGGCAUGGGGCAGGGAGUCAAUGGUGAAUGUCAAAGCAGGCUCCAAAGCUGGACCCCAAGCUGUCUUCAAGAAUGACCACGACUGUCUUCAGUGUUAAAAUCCAUCACCUAAAGGCCCGCAGCAUCGCAGGGUUGUGGAGAGCCACAUGUUCUCAGGCUGCCACCUGCAGGGGUGGAUCCAUUUCAAGUAUUUAUGCAAAUGUGUCUCUGAACUAAAGUGUGAUCUUAUGCC
rnacentral:sRNA from 1 species